rnacentral:rRNA from 1 species
CGGGCAACCUGCCCUCAGCUCUGGGAUAACUCCGGGAAACCGGUGCUAAUACUGGAUAUCGACUUCUGCCUCGCAUGGGGUGUUGUUGAAAGUUUUUCGGCUGGGGAUGGGCCCGCGGCCUAUCAGCUUGUUGGUGUGGGUAAUGGCCCACCAAGGCGACGACGGGUAGCCGGCCUGAGAGGGUGACCGGCCACACUGGGACUGAGACACGGCCCAGACUCCUACGGGAGGCG